CCCGACUACGCCGGCCUCUGCUGACUGGACGCCGAAGUCUUUAUCAUCGUCGCAAAAUUUCAUUUAUUAAAAGGUUGGUUUUCUCUUCACCCUAUAAGAAGUCAAGUAUGCCCAGUUCUUGCAUUGCAAGCUCUUACGAUUAAGAAAAACUGUACAGAGGAGGAUCAUGAGACAAAUGAGCACACGCGGAGCCCAAACACUGAGAAACAGGAAACAGAAGCGGUCGAUGGGGGGAGCUUUCCUCUGCCCUCGACACAGCCACCACUGGUGCCGGGAUCAAAAUGAUGUCACUUGCUUUGUCCUCGACAGACAUUUGCAAACAAAACUUUUUAGCAGACACUUAAGGUCAUUUGGGAGGUCAGAGAACUGUACUUAAAGAUGUUUGCUGUACCGUCAACACUUCCUUCUGGCUCGAUUCGACCUUCUCUGUGCCCUGUAUGUAGAAGCCGUAAACUUCUUGAUAGUCUACUAGUAUUAUGCCUCAAAAAAAAAAAAAGCAGGAAAAUUGAGUACUUGGUGUGCCCCAAAUGACUCUCUUUGGCUUUGGGCACCGGAGAAGUGGGAGUUUUUUAGCUGUUCUGUAAUACUCGUGAUAUGAAGCACAUUAAACAUGAGUCAGAGUGAUAAGAAUCUUCAAAGGUCUUUCCAGAAACACGUUCUGAGACGUCUUAACGAUGAUAAAGAAGCCACAGUAAGAUGCCCAGGGUCCUGCUCCAUUUUCAGAGUCCGUAACUUUGAAGAAAGAAUAACAUAUUACUUGGAAGGAAUUUAUAAUAACCAUGAGUAUUUAUAGUUGAAUCACGUUUAGGAACAUGCCAUGCCUUUCAAGCUACUCCAUGAAAAGAGUUCAGUGACUUCAUAAGUUUGGGAAACCAGCCAUCAAUACUUUCUUUUCCUUACGGAGCAUCAUUGACAUCUGAAGGGUUCUGAGAACUUCUGCAGUAAAGAACUCCUGGAAGACUUAAGGCUAAACAAACAAACAAAAAAAUGUCUAAUGGCCUGUAGGGAGAAGGUGAAAGCUGGAGUGUCUGUUCAAUAAGUGCUGUGGAGUGCUGAACUCAAGAAACUAUCCUGAACUCGUUCACGCUGAGCGAUUCAGUCGUCUGGCUUAAUUGUCCAUUCGUCAGGCUCUGCAGAAUUGCUGGAGUGACACUGCUGUUCUGUGUCAAAAGCAGGUGAGUGAGAGGAAGAAGAAACCAGUUAGAGGGAAAACGAGGGCUCAUGUGAAAUCAGCCUAAGAAUUGGAGCGGCACAGAGAAGCCGUAGAAGGAUUAAAGAUGACCUUCUUUGAGGACACGCUCCUCUCCUCGACUUCUCUCACACUACCCCAGCUGAUGCAGAAGCAAGUCACAAGACCGAGGUCAUGUGAGUGCUGGGAUGUAGGGCUGCUGGCUCAGCGCUCCUAUGGAAGCCGCACUGAAGCCCUACACGUGGGCUGUCCUGCAACUGGGCUGCGAUGAAGGGUGGCU